CCUACGGGAGGCAGCAGUGGGGAAUUGUUCGCAAUGGGCGAAAGCCUGACGACGCAACGCCGCGUGGAGGAUGAAGACCUUCGGGUCGUAAACUCCUUUCGAUCGAGACGAAUGGCUCUGGGGUUAAUAGCCCUGGAGAAUGACGGUACCGAGAGAAGAAGCCCCGGCUAACUCCGUGCCAGCAGCCGCGGUAAUACGGGGGGGGCAAGCGUUGUUCGGAAUUACUGGGCGUAAAGGGCUCGUAGGCGGCCAACUAAGUCAGACGUGAAAUCCCUCGGCUUAACCGGGGAACUGCGUCUGAUACUGGAUGGCUUGAGUUCGGGAGAGGGAUGCGGAAUUCCAGGUGUAGCGGUGAAAUGCGUAGAUAUCUGGAGGAACACCGGUGGCGAAGGCGGCAUCCUGGACCGACACUGACGCUGAGGAGCGAAAGCCAGGGGAGCAAACGGGAUUAGAUACCCCGGUAGUCCUGGCCCUAAACGAUGAAUGCUUGGUGUGGCGGGUAUCGAUCCUCGCGUCGCGACGCUACGACAUAAGUACAUCCGUCCGUCGGGAGGUACGGUCGCGAGGCGUGAACGUACAAGUAGAAGUUAGUACGGCGUGAGACGUCGCCGACGGACGACGACGAGGGAGAGG
rnacentral:rRNA from 1 species